rnacentral:rRNA from 1 species
AAUGAACGUUGGCGGCGUGGAUUAGGCAUGCAAGUCGCGCGAGAAGUCAUUUAGCUUGCUAAAAGACGGACAGCGGCGGAAGGGAGAGUAACGCGUGGUUAUGUACCCUCGAGACCGGGAUAGUGUCGGGAAACUGGCAGUAAUACCGGAUAACAUCUUCGGAUCAAAUGGUGUGAUUCCGCUCGAGGAUCGGGCCGCAUACUAUUAGCUAGUUGGAGGGGUAAUGGCCCACCAAGGCUUAGAUGGUUACCGGGUGUGAGAGCAUGGCCCGGCUCACUGGGACUGAGACACUGCCCAGACAUCUACGGAUGGCUGCAGUCGAGAAUCUUCGGCAAUGGACGAAAGUCUGACCGAGCGACGCCGCGUGCGGGAUGAAGGCCUUCGGGUUGUAAACCGCUGUCAGUUAGGAGGAAAUCCAUGAGGGUUCUCUCUCAUGGUUGACCGAUUUUCAGAGGAAGGACGGGCUAAGUUCGUGCCAGCCGCCGCGGUAACAC